rnacentral:rRNA from 1 species
GACACAUUCAGUCCUGUUAUUAAACCAACUACUAUUCGUGUUCUUCUCUCUUUGGCUGUUACUCGCGGAUGGUCGCUUCGACAGCUUGAUAUUCAGAAUGCCUUUCUCCAUGGAGUUCUGGAAGAAGAGGUUUAUAUGCGUCAGCCGCCAGGUUUUGUUGACCCUGCUCAGCCACAUCAUUUAUGUCGCCUUGUCAAGGCUCUCUACGGUUUGAAGCAGGCCCCGCGUGCGUGGCAUGCCCGUCUUGGCGCUGCUCUUCGUGCGCAUGGGUUUGUUCCUUCUACAGCAGACACGUCUCUGUUUAUUCUACAG